rnacentral:lncRNA from 1 species
GACGUAGGGGUGCGUACUUCCCUCAGUGGGGAGACCCUGCUGCCGCUGUUGUUGACCAAGUCGCCGUGGCCGAAGCGCGGUGGCCGAAGCAGGGGACGGGGGUGGGACUUACAGGGACAGAAGGCGUAGCUUCCAGUAGCUUCUGGCCCUUCUGGGUCCGGAGUGGCCUUGCCGCCCUCACCUGCGCAGAGCCGGGAGCCGACGCGUCACCCCCAACGGAAGCGCCGCGCUGCCAGGGCGUCUGGCGAGGUGCGCCCUCCGCGUCCCAGCUCCAGCGCUUCGCAGCAGUCGCCCACCUCUUUCUGCCAAGCAGGGCGGGGACGGGGCGGCAUCUCCGAGAUCUGCGAUUCGAACCGCCGAGGAGCAGAAGACCACAGCUCACCUCGGACGGUGCCCUAGGGCCACCACACAGAGGGUCGGGCAGUGCCAGAGGGAGGUUGCAAGCGCCGCCGCCAACUCGACAGCGCGUCCCAGGAAAAACUGAGGAAACGCGCCUGGUUCCAGGGGUCGGCGGGGACCGCGGAGACUGCUAGCAUCCUCAACAGCUUGGAAAUCCCAUCGCCUUGGUUCCCUGAGACUUGGAGGAGAACUGACAGCUGGCUGACAGAAAACUCAUCCAGGGAGAGAAGAGACAAAAGUGAAGUAUGAAAUUUUGAAUAAUGUUUUCAGGUAACUUUCUAUUUCCAUCUAGAGUGGGUGUCUGGAAGGGUGAAUGCAGUUAUGGUUUGAAUUGCUUUCAUGUAUCAACAGAUAUUUUUAAUAGGGCUCAUCUUUCCAAGAUGCAAUGUGCCUUACUUUCUUUUCCUGGCUUCCAGUCCCCUUGUAGCAGGGCAGGGAGCUGAGGAAUUCAUCCUUUGGCCUGCACAUGCUCACUGAACCCCUGUUUUCAGCAAGCUGCCUCUAAGUUUGAAGACUUUCUGAUCAAUUUAGAAAAUAAAUCUUUGUUUUCUUGCCUAGGAAAGUGAUUGUCUGCUACUUGGGCUGGGAUAAAAUACAUGGGGAUCCAGGAGUUCUGUCCACAGACUUUCAACCAUCUUCUUGUUCUAAGCCCUGUUACUCAUUGCCAUUUUCUAUGGCACUUGGAACCUCUAAGUCCUAAAUGUCACAGGUCCUGUGGGUAAGCAGCCUCCCUGGGUCUGUGUCCUGCAGCCUCCUCUGCCAUGCUAAGGCCAUUUGCCACUCCACCAUUCCCCCAUUUCCAGAGCCUGUUUGAAAUUGCUUAUCUAAUGGUAUCUCUCCUCCAAUUUUCUUUGUUUUUUUUUUUUUUUUUUUGAGACGGAGUCUCGCUCUGUCACCCAGGCUGGAGUGCAGUGGCCGGAUUUCAGCUCACUGCAAGCUCUGCCUCCUGGGUUCACGCCAUUCUCCUGCCUCAGCCUCCCGAGUAGCUGGGACUACAGGCGCCCGCUACCUUGCCCGGCUAGUUUUUUGUAUUUUUUAGUAGAGACGGGGUUUCACCGUGUUAGCCAGGAUGGUCUCGAUCUCCUGACCUUGUGAUCCGCCUGUCUCGGCCUCCCAAAGUACUGGGAUUACAGGCUUGAGCCACCGCGCCCGGCCCCUUCUUUGUUCUUAAAAAUAUACAUAUUUAAAAUAUUUUUAAAAAAUAACUCAAUGCUUAUAAUUUUGGUGGCAUCUUGGGCAUAGAGGGAGGAACUAAAGGAGCAUUGUAAAUAUGCCAUCAUGAGGUGCAAGUGAUAUUAAAGACACUGUAAUUUUUGAAUGAAAAGCAGUUUAUCCAUCGGUUUAAUAAUUAAUAUCUUGUAAUAAUGUCAAAAUGAUACUAUUUGGAAAUUGUAAGGAAAGUACACUUAAAGGAUAUGCUCUUUCCAUGUUUUGCUUAUUAGAUUCUACUGAUGUUUACAGAAUGAGAAGAAGCAUUGUAUCUUAGAAAUAUGAGAUCCUUAAAAAAACAACAUUUCCAAUAUUUUAUCUGUUAUUUUAAAUAGGUUGUGGAUUGGAGACAUGAUAAACUUUUCAAAAAGCUAAUUCUGAGAUAAACAUUUUAAAAAGAAGAAUGCAGUGAGUAUGAAGACAAAACAAGAAAGUCUUUCUCUAGACAUUGUCUGAUUUCAUUACCACAUCCCCAUGGAAUGCAUAUUCCAUGAUUGUCAUUCCAUGCGUGAGGAACUCAAGACUCCUAGAGGCUGAGAGACUUGAUCAGGGCACAUAGCCAAUAAGUGUGGGAGUCACGAUUGACCCCUGUCAGAUGCCUGAACUUUCUGCAGUUGAACUAUUAUCUAUAUAGAAGGUGCCACUGAAUUUGGGGAUUGCUUAUAGUCUAGACAUAACAAAGGGAUUGACUGGAUGUUAGUAUGCUCUCAGCACUCAGUGUCCAAUCAGGAUGCUUCCAGGAGGAAAGAACGUUCUAGGCAACAGAAGUGGUCCUCAUCAAAAGUUGAGUUGGACUCUGUGAAAAGGAAAUAAGUCAGACAUAAAUAUCAGUGUUUUUGAUGCACAAAUGGAGAAAACAAGAUAAAAGAACCCCCAGAAAAGGAUGAAGGGCUAAAGAGAAGGGGGUUCUUCCAUUCAGGUACUGAUUACAGAAAGAACCAGAACAUUUGGAGAAUAAAGUAUCUGGCACCUUUUUUCCCUGACAAGUUUAAUGUUUAGACAAUUUCAAAAGUUAUCUACUAAAUGUUAAGAAGUGAGCAAACAGGCUGGGCGCGGUGGCGCACGCCUGUAAUCCCAGCACUUUGGGAGGCUGAGGUGAGCAGAUCUCCUGAGGUCGGGAGUUCGAGAUUAACCUAACCAAUAUGAAGAAACCCCAUCUCUACUAAAAAUACAAAAUUAGCAGGGUAUGGUGGCGCACGCCUGUAAUCUCAGCUACUCAGGAUGCUGAGGCAGGAGAAUCACUUGAAGCCAGGAGGCGGAGAUUGCAGUGAGCCGAGAUGGCGCCAUUGCACUCCAGCCUGGGCAACAAGAGCGAAAUUCCAUCUCAAAAAAAAAGAAGUGAGCAAACAAAGUGGCUUUAAAAAUCUUUAGAAUGAGGAAAGAGUCAACCUCAUGAGGUUGGUGUUGCUGGACACUCCCCGAGUCCUCAGAGGAGAGGGUCUGCCUAUGUCCACACUGCAGGUGGAUUAGGCAGCAAGUUGGUGCCACUGCUCAACUUCUCUGAGACCCUGAAGCCCACAGCACCCUUUUUCCACAAGACUGUGAUGGGGCCACUGUCCUCCUUAGGCAUGGUAGUUGCCAGCAUAGUAGCAGCUCCUCUUCUUCUCCCAGAACCUCCUGACACCAACCUUGGUGAAAGAAAAGCUGUGACAGCAAGCGGUCAGGUUUAGUGUUGUGGAGAAAGGCCUUUACUUGAGGAUGGCUGAAAAGUAGAAAGCCUUGGCUGGCCAUGGUGGCUUAUGCCUGUAACCCCAACACUUUGGGAGGCUGAGGCAGGAGGAUUGUUUGAGGCUGGGAGUUCAAGACCAGUCUGGGCAAUAUAGCAAGACCCUGUGCCAAAAAAAUAAAAUAAAAUAAGUAUUAAAAAAAAAGUAAGUAAAAUAUCUUCCCCCAAAGAUUCUGCUAAGACUUUAAAAAAUAAAAACAAGAUUGACCUAAAUACUAGAAACUAUACGAGAAUAUAAUAUUGACAUCUGGUAUCUGACAACUUGUUCUCGUUUGAAUAUCUGUUUCUCAAAUGCUACUUUUUGUCAAAUAAUUUUUUAAAUGACUGAUACUGUAUAGCAAUUGAAUUGCAAUUACUAAGUAGUUUCUAUAUUUGAUAUUACAUUCCAGCUCAUUUCUCUACAUUUCUAUGCUCUAUUAAGCCCAUUUAUAUAUGAAAAAUGCUUUAAAAAUGAUCCUUUUGUGAUCACUGUCUCAUGUGAGCUCUUUUCAGAUGCUUUGCAUUCAGAAUAGACCUCUGAGUUGGGACCGAAGCAGUCAACUGAUCCCAAAUUCCUAAGUUCCUGACUUGCAGGUAUGUGUGGCUCCAAGAUAGCCUUUAUAGAGUAUGUCACGGGGAACAUAAAAUGAAAGCAUUCACUCUCAUUGUAUUUAUGUAUGUACAGAUUGAGUAGUUCUUUGCUUUGCACCAUGAAUGAUACUGAAGUGGAGAUGAAUUCUAUGUCCUUUUGAAUACUGCCUUUCAGGAGCUUAGUCAGUUGAAACUCCAGUUGAAAGUCAAGGCACAAAUGUCAUCGAUAAUGUCAUGAGAACUGAAUUACUCUUUUAAAAGGAAGACCUAAUAGGACUCUUUGUAAAUUUUAAUAAUGAAGUAUAUCUUACAUAUAUGCUAUGCUCUUUUCUGCACACACAUUCUAUUUCACAAUAAGUAAAUAAGAGUGAUAUACAGAAGAGUAUGUGAAAUGUGUACUUUUAAAGAAGAAGAAUAGAAUGGACACCCACCUAUGCAUCACCCAGACUGGGAAAUAGAACAUCACCUGAACCUUUGGGCCUCUCUGUGUCCCUCCCAAAAGGCAUUAUUCUCCUAAUCUCUACCAAGGAGUAGCUUUCUGUUGACUUUUGUAUUAAUCAUUCCCUUUGCUUUAAAAAAAAAAUUUUCAGGUGCCCCUUAUAGUUGAUCCCUAAGUAAAAUAAUUGUUUAUUUUUAAAAAACUUAGUAGCAGGUACAAAAUUAGG